AUUCACUCCUCCGAAGGGCUGGGUAUAGCCCAUAGUCAACCUAGUGUCUGCAUUGUGUCACUUUAAAUCACUCUUCUCUGCAGUCUUCCAAAGAGUCCGACUGCAACAUGAGAGCUAAGUGGCGUAAGAAGCGUAUGCGUAGGCUGAAGCGGAAGCGCAGGAAGAUGCGUGCCCGUUCCAAGUAAAACGAAUUGUUUUACUCCACACGACGCGCUCGCAGUCGUCUGGAAGAAGAUGGCAGUCUUUGAUUUCGUUUGGUAAUUUCGAAUCGACUGUCAUGGAUGGAUAUAAUCAAGAUCACAAAAACUAGUACUUGGAAAACCAGCUGAUUUGAUCAACAGUCAGCUGUAAGAAAUUGCCACUCCGUGUUCUCGUUUUAAUUGGAAAUUGUAACGUUAUCUCUUAUGUGCAAUGUUUCACGACCAAUACAGACUUGUUCACAUUGUA